AGUAUCUUCCAAGAAAUGGUGUAAUCAAUGAAGAAAGUAGCAGGGAUGGAUGUGGAACUGACAGUUGAAGAAAUAAACCUCCUAUCUGUUGCAUAUAAGAAUGUGAUUGGAGCUAGAAGAGCCUCCUGGAGAAUAAUCAGCAGCACUGAACAGAAAGAAGAAAAGGAAGGAGAAGACAAGCUAAAAAUGAUUUGGGAAUAUCGGCAAAUGAUUGAGACUGAGCUAAAGUUACUCUGCUGUGACGUUCUGGAUGUACUGGACAAAAACCUCACUCCAGCAGCUAACACUGGCGAGUCCAAAGUUUUCCAUUAUAAAAUGAAAGGGGACUACCACAGGUAUCUGGCAGAAUUUGCCACAGGAAAUGACAGGAAGGAGGCUGUGGAGAACAGCCUAGCGGCUUAUAAAGCUGAUAGUGAUAUUGCAAUGACAGAACUUCCACCAACGCAUCCUAUUCACUUAGGUCUUGCUCUCAAUUUUUCUGUAUCCUACUACAAAAUUCUUAAUUCCCCUGACUAUGCCUGCAGGUUGGCAAAAGCAGCUUUUGAUGAUACAAUUGCAGAACUGGAUAUGCUGAGUGAAGAAAGCUAUAAGGACACUAUGGGCUUCAGGCAUGCAGGGUGAUGAUGAAGAAUAGAAUAAAGAAG